GCAAGUCGAACGUGAAAGUCCUUCGGGGCGAGUAAAGUGGCGCACGGGUGAGUAACGCGUGGAUAAUCUACCCUUAAGAUGGGGAUAACGGCUGGAAACGGUCGCUAAUACCGAAUACGCUCCCGAUUUUAUCGUUGGGGGGAAAGAUGGCCUCUGCUUGCAAGCUAUCGCUUAAGGAUGAGUCCGCGUCCCAUUAGCUAGUUGGCGGGGUAACGGCCCACCAAGGCAACGAUGGGUAGCCGGUCUGAGAGGAUGACCGGCCACACUGGAACUGGAACACGGUCCAGACUCCUACGGGAGGCAGCAGUGGGGAAUAUUGCGCAAUGGGCGAAAGCCUGACGCAGCGACGCCGCGUGAGGGAUGAAGGUUCUCGGAUCGUAAACCUCUGUCAGGGGGGAAGAAACCCCCUCGUGUGAAUAAUGCGAGGGCUUGACGGUACCCCCAAAGGAAGCACCGGCUAACUCCGUGCCAGCAGCCGCGGUAAUACGGAGGGUGCAAGCGUUAAUCGGAAUCACUGGGCGUAAAGCGCACGUAGGCGGCUUGGUAAGUCAGGGGUGAAAUCCCACAGCCCAACUGUGGAACUGCCUUUGAUACUGCCAGGCUUGAGUACCGGAGAGGGUGGCGGAAUUCCAGGUGUAGGAGUGAAAUCCGUAGAUAUCUGGAGGAACACCGGUGGCGAAGGCGGCCACCUGGACGGUAACUGACGCUGAGGUGCGAAAGCGUGGGUAGCAAACAGGAUUAGAUACCCUGGUAGUCCACGCU
rnacentral:rRNA from 1 species